GUCUACACCAUGCCACCCUGAACAAGCCCGAUCCCAUCUGAUCUCGGAAGCUAAGCAGGGUCGAGCCUGGCAAAUACUUGGAUGGGAGACCACCUAGGAAGACCAGGUGCUGUAGUCA
rnacentral:rRNA from 1 species